rnacentral:rRNA from 1 species
AGCGAACGCUGGCGGCGGGCCUAACACAUGCAAGUCGAACGAACCCUUCGGGGUUAGUGGCGGACGGGUGAGUAACACGUGGGAACGUGCCUUUAGGUUCGGAAUAACUCAGGGAAACUUGUGCUAAUACCGAAUGUGCCCUUCGGGGGAAAGAUUUAUCGCCUUUAGAGCGGCCCGCGUCUGAUUAGCUAGUUGGUGAGGUAAUGGCUCACCAAGGCGACGAUCAGUAGCUGGUCUGAGAGGAUGACCAGCCACAUUGGAACUGAGACACGGCCCAAACUCCUACGGGAGGCAGCGGUGGGAAGUCUUGCGCAAUGGGCGAAGGCCUGACGCAGCCAUGCCGCGUGGAUGAUGAAGGUCUUAGGAUUGUAAAAUCCUUUCACCGGUGAAGAUAAUGACUGUAGCGGAGAAGAAGCCCCGGCUAACUUCGUGCCAGCCGCCGCUAUAAUAC